GUUUGAAUGAUGACUUAAGAUUGUCGGAUACCCCUUCACUCGGUUCAUGGGUGAAACAUGAACAGUCUGACAAAC
ensembl:snoRNA